rnacentral:rRNA from 1 species
GGGAUCUGCCCGAUAGAGGGGGAUAACCACUGGAAACGGUGGCUAAUACCGCAUAACGUCGCAAGACCAAAGAGGGGGACCUUCGGGCCUCUCACUAUCGGAUGAACCCAGAUGGGAUUAGCUAGUAGGCGGGGUAAUGGCCCACCUAGGCGACGAUCCCUAGCUGGUCUGAGAGGAUGACCAGCCACACUGGAACUGAGACACGGUCCAGACUCCUACGGGAGGCAGCAGUGGGGAAUAUUGCACAAGUGGGCGCAAGCCUGAUGCAGCCAUGCCGCGUGUAUGAAGAAGGCCUUC